rnacentral:rRNA from 1 species
GCCUAACACAUGCAAGUCGAGCGGAAACGACANNAUNGANUCUUCGGAGGAUUUGNUGGGCGUCGAGCGGCGGACGGGUGAGUAAUGCCUAGGAAAUUGCCUUGAUGUGGGGGAUAACCAUUGGAAACGAUGGCUAAUACCGCAUAAUGCCUACGGGCCAAAGAGGGGGACCUUCGGGCCUCUCGCGUCAAGAUAUGCCUAGGUGGGAUUAGCUAGUUGGUGAGGUAAUGGCUCACCAAGGCGACGAUCCCUAGCUGGUCUGAGAGGAUGAUCAGCCACACUGGAACUGAGACACGGUCCANACUCCUACGGGAGGCAGCAGUGGGGAAUAUUGCACAAUGGGCGAAAGCCUGAUGCAGCCAUGCCGCGUGUAUGAAGAAGGCCUUCGGGUUGUAAAGUACUUUCAGUUGUGAGGAAGGGUGUGUAGUUAAUAGCUGCGCAUCUUGACGUUAGCAACAGAAAGAAGCACCGGCUAACUNCGUGCCANCAGCCCGCCGGUAAUACGGAGGGUGCGAGCGUUAAUCGGAAUUACUGGGCGUAAAGCGCAUGCAGGUGGUUCAUUAAGUCAGAUGUG